UGGGGAAUUUUGGACAAUGGGGGCAACCCUGAUCCAGCCAUUUCGCGUGUGCGAUGAAGGCCUUCGGGUUGUAAAGCACUUUUGGCAGGGAAGAAAAGGAUUGGGCUAAUACCCUGAUUCGCUGACGGUACCUGCAGAAUAAGCACCGGCUAACUACGUGCCAGCAGCCGCGGUAAUACGUAGGGUGCAAGCGUUAAUCGGAAUUACUGGGCGUAAAGCGUGCGCAGGCGGUUCGGAAAGAAGGAUGUGAAAUCCCAGGGCUUAACCUUGGAACUGCAUUUUUAACUACCGGACUAGAGUGUGUCAGAGGGAGGUGGAAUUCCGCGUGUAGCAGUGAAAUGCGUAGAGAUGCGGAGGAACACCGAUGGCGAAGGCAGCCUCCUGGGAUAACACUGACGCUCAGGCACGAAAGCGUGGGGAGCAAACA
rnacentral:rRNA from 1 species